AUACAGAGGGUGCAAGCGUUAAUCGGAUUUACUGGGCGUAAAGAGAGUGUAGGUGGUUUAUUAAGUCGGAUGUGAAAUCCCGGGGCUCAACCUCGGAACUGCAUUCGAUACUGAUAGGCUAGAGUUUGGGAGGGGUAAGCGGAAUUCCGUGUGUAGCAGUGAAAUGCGUAGAUAUACGGAGGAACACCUGAGGCGAAGGCGGCUUACUGGACCAAUACUGACACUGAGACUCGAAAGCGUGGGUAGCAAACAGGAUUAGAAACCCGAGUAGUCC
rnacentral:rRNA from 1 species